GACGGAGGAUGCAAGCGUUAUCCGGAAUGAUUGGGCGUAAAGCGUCCGCAGGUGGCAGUUCAAGUCUGCUGUCAAAGACCGGGGCUUAACUUCGGAAAGGCAGUGGAAACUGAACAGCUAGAGUAUGGUAGGGGCAGAGGGAAUUCCUGGUGUAGCGGUGAAAUGCGUAGAGAUCAGGAAGAACAUCGGUGGCGAAGGCGCUCUGCUGGACCAUAACUGACACUCAGGGACGAAAGCUGGGGGAGCAAACCGG
rnacentral:rRNA from 1 species